CUGCUGCUCAUAAAGCACGGCUGGAAUCGCUCCCACAUGCCAAGAAAGCACUGUCCUGCUGUGAUUUACUGGACGCUGCUAAACAGAGAUCUCUGGCUGGAAAACCCAAGGCUGGACGCUGAGCAGAUGGCAAUGGUGGCUGAGAUUUAUCGGAAAGGAGACGUUCUUGUCUUGGUGCAGCUCAUACUUUACGAGUGCUUGCCACCUUCUGGUUUGAGAAAGGAUUACAACCGUUAAACUACUGGGAAUUGAGAGGAAAUCGACUGUAAAAACUCUGGUCCUGUUCCUAAUCCCCCUAAAAGGAUUGACGGAUUUGCAAAGUGCCAUAAUGCCUGUCAGAGAAUUUGGAAAUGAAAGGAUGGAUGAUGCUGUCGAUAUCCUUGAAGAAUGCCCUUUAACCAUUGUGUAAAAUAUUCAGGGAAAAUAUUGAGAGCAGGAGCAAUGGAAAAUUAAUCUUAAAAGCGAAAUAGGUGCAAAGCUUCCAAAAAGAAAAGAAUUUUGAAAUAGUGAACAUUUUUUCUCACAAAAAUGUUUGCAGAUUUUGACCAAUCUGACACUUCCACUCAAUCCUAUCAGCUGUCAUUUGUCUGCCCAGCUUCAGUGAUGCCACUUAAAAUGAUUACAUCUGCCCUUUGUGCAAGAGGAGGAUGCACAGUAUCUGUAAAAAAAAGACAACUUUACAGUCAUGGCUACUCAAAUAAUACGAAUAGCACUACAAAAAAAGUCAGAAUUACCUUAUUCAGUCAUUUUUGAUUUAGCCAGAUGAGUGUUUUCACAACACAUGUGUACUUCAUGAAGGCUAGUAAACACUUUUUCUAAUGGAUAUCACAUUGUCUGGCUUCAUGUAAUUCAAACUUCAUUUCAGAUGUCACAGUUUAGUCCUUAAAAACCAUUUAUAUUUAAUUUACCAUGAUCUUAAUAGAAGGCACCAGAGUAUCUGAACACAUUCCAGCAGUGUAUGAAGCACUGUGACUAACAUAUGCCAUUUGUUUGUUCAAUUUGUUCCUUCCCAGCAUGGGACAAAUGGGCAGCAAAGCACUUCUUUCUGUGUGUUUUUAUAAUAUGCACAAAGAACUAUGUUUGUAUUGGGAAAGGCAGGUCUGAACCAAUAUCCCUCACACACAGAGAGAAAAGCAGUGAGGUUUUGAUGCUCCCCAGUCGUUGUCAGGUCACAUAAGGAUUUUGGCCGGCACUCCAAAAAUGGUUGGUUGAUUUCUCGGAUAUAACUUGACCUUGCUGAUCUUCUCACUGUAGGGUACAAGCACGGCAGAGUCCCUGCUUACCUUCGCUAAUCAGAACAGAUUUGCUGUAUCCCCCCACUGGGUCUGUACGAUGACUGUGGUUGCAGCAAGAUGAGCAGCAGCCAUUUGCCCACUUUGACUCCCUAAGAAGGCUGGGGAAGAGAAGCCGAAAAUUGGAGGAGAGCUGGCAGCCUGUGUUCACUCCCUGUCCAUCUUUCCCUGGGGCUGUGCUUGGUGCUACAGCCAUUUCUGAGGGCCAGGAGCCACGCUCAGCUGAGGAAGCAGCCACCAGUGAUGGCCAUCUUCAGGUUUGCCCUGAACCCUCCAGAGCAGACCCAGGCCCACUUUGAGACUGUGAGGUUUUGAGCGUCAGGCACAGCCUGGCAGCUUGCUCUGACUUUGCUGCAUUCGUUGCUGUCUCUUAAGCAACAUUCAUCUGCAUUUCUCACAACAAUUCCUUUUUCUGUUUUUUUUUUUCUUUUGUUUUUUUUUUUUCUUCUUCUCAUCCUUAGGAUCAGGGUGCUGUUUUCUUAGAUUUGUUCUUGUGAAUCACUUCUGCUUAGUAGAUCGCUUUGUAACCACUUUGAGAAUACCAAGCAAUCAAAGUUUCAUUGCUAUGACUGUUCACUUAAAUGAUACAAUAUGUAUCUGCUCAUUAUGUGGUUGAAUGGCUUCCAGAUUUCCCAGUGCAUGCAUCUGAGGACGAUAUAUUUAAAAUUCCCACUUGGCAAAUGUUUUUCAAUACUGUCUUAAAUAAACUAGUUUCCAUGGAUGUUCUUGCCAAUACAUUUAUUAGUUCUGAUCUCUGGGCUUUAUCCAAACUGACCGGUCAUUUGUCAGUCAAAAUAUACAGAUGCAAAUGGUUGUGCCAUGAAAAAAAAAAAAAGGAAUUUUAGUUUCCAGUUCUUUCCAUGCUUGUGGUGGUGUUUUUCAUUCUGAGUACGGGACAUUUUCAGAAGGCGAAUUGUGAAACUGCUGUAGUAUCUGUUGCCUUUCUGAACACACGUGAGGCUCCACGAGGGUAUGUAACAGCAUGGCGAGAAACCAUUCCCAUCGCAGGAACAAACGAAGCUGAAUUUAUCUUGCCAUGGCAUUCACAAUUGAAAUGAAUAAAGACCCACAGGACUGCGUGCCAUUGGAUGGUGCCAAAUACAACCUUACAUGAGCUCCCUGCUAUCUGAAGGCUCCUGCUGCUUGCUGUAGCUCAUCACCAGGCAAACGGAUGAUUUAGUGCGUGCGAGUGUAGCCAUAAACCAAAAGCUUCCAGAUGAAAUAAUGCUCUCUCACUCUCAACAGAAGCAAUUACAAUGUAGCUGUCUGUACAGCCUUUAACAUUGCUACUAAAAGGCUGAGCUACUCUAAAGUGCACAGUGAUAGAGCUGAGUUUCUCCGGCUGAGUAGUUUUUGCACCUGCUGAACACAUCCUAUAGCCUUGGGAAUCUUAAAGGAAGACAGAAAAAGUCUACACAGCCUCACAGAGCGUGUGUUUUGGACGUGAAUACAUAACUUGCAUAUAAAAUAUAUACGCAUUCCUUCCUUUAUACACACACAUGCACAUAUGGUGAGAAAGCAAUGUCUUAUUUUGCUAUAUUUCUAAAAUAAAUCACUACUUUCAUAGGAUAAUUGAAAGAUUAUGCUCAUAGUUCUUCUAGUAUGGACUUAGAAUGAAUUUUCAUGAGAAAUAUCUUAUUUUCCCACAAAAUAUAUCCAGAGCAGAUAGAGUUUUCAGGAGCAAGUAAAGGAUACUCAGUUUUCCCUCACUUUAAUUCAAACAAUUCUUGGUGUUUCAAAAGUUUGACGAUAGCCCCACAGAAAAGAG
ensembl:lncRNA